rnacentral:rRNA from 1 species
CAGCCGCCGCGGUAAUACGUAGGUGGCAAGCGUUGUCCGGAAUUAUUGGGCGUAAAGGGCUCGCAAGCGGUUUCUUAAGUCUGAUGUGAAAGCCCCCGGCUCAACCGGGGAGGGUCAUUGGAAACUGGGAAACUUGAGUGCAGAAGAGGAGAGUGGAAUUCCACGUGUAGCGGUGAAAUGCGUAGAGAUGUGGAGGAACACCAGUGGCGAAGGCGACUCUCUGGUCUGUAACUGACGCUGAGGAGCGAAAGCGUGGGGAGCGAACAGGAUUAGAUACCCCAGUAGUCCCUGUCUCUUAUAC